GAACCUGCGGAAGGAUCAUUACCGAGUGAGGGUUUCUCUGAAGCCCAACCUCCCACCCGUGUAUACCGUACCCUGUUGCUUCGGCGGGCCCGCCUCACGGCCGCCGGGGGACCUCGCGUCCCCGGGCCCGCGCCCGCCGAAGACCCCAACACGAACACUGUCUGAAAAGUGCAGUCUGAGUCGAUUGUUACCAAUCAGUCAAAACUUUCAACAAUGGAUCUCUUGGUUCCGGCAUCGAUGAAGAACGCAGCGAAAUGCGAUAACUAAUGUGAAUUGCAGAAUUCAGUGAAUCAUCGAGUCUUUGAACGCACAUUGCGCCCCCUGGUAUUCCGGGGGGCAUGCCUGUCCGAGCGUCAUUGCUGCCCUCAAGCACGGCUUGUGUGUUGGGCCCCGUCCCCGGUACCCCCGGGGACGGGCCCGAAAGGCAGCGGCGGCACCGCGUCCGGUCCUCGAGCGUAUGGGGCUUUGUCACCCGCUCUGCAGGCCCGGCCGGCGCCAGCCGACCAACCCAACCAUUUUUUACAGGUUGACCUCGGAUCAGGUAGGGAUACCCGCUGAACUUAAGCAUAUCAAUAAGCGGAGGAAAAGAAACCAACCGGGAUUGCCUCAGUAACGGCGAGUGAAGCGGCAAGAGCUCAAAUUUGAAAGCUGGCUCCUUCGGGGUCCGCAUUGUAAUUUGCAGAGGAUGCUUCGGGUGCGGCCCCUGUCUAAGUGCCCUGGAACGGGCUGUCAGAGAGGGUGAGAAUCCCGUCUGGGAUGGGGUGUCCGCGCCCGUGUGAAGCUCCUUCGACGAGUCGAGUUGUUUGGGAAUGCAGCUCUAAAUGGGUGGUAAAUUUCAUCUAAAGCUAAAUAUUGGCCGGAGACCGAUAGCGCACAAGUAGAGUGAUCGAAAGAUGAAAAGCACUUUGAAAAGAGAGUUAAACAGCACGUGAAAUUGUUGAAAGGGAAGCGCUUGCGACCAGACUCGCCCGCGGGGUUCAGCCGGCAUUCGUGCCGGUGUACUUCCCCGUGGGCGGGCCAGCGUCGGUUUGGGCGGCCGGUCAGCGGCUCCCGGAAUGUAGCGCCUCUCGGGGCGCCUUAUAGCCGGGGGUGCAGUGCGGCCAGCCUGGACCGAGGAACGCGCUUCGGCACGGACGCUGGCAUAAUGGUCGUAAACGAC
rnacentral:ncRNA from 1 species